rnacentral:rRNA from 1 species
AGUGAACGCUGGCGGUAGGCCUAACACAUGCAAGUCGAACGGCAGCACAGUAAGAGCUUGCUCUUACGGGUGGCGAGUGGCGGACGGGUGAGGAAUACAUCGGAAUCUACUUUUUCGUGGGGGAUAACGUAGGGAAACUUACGCUAAUACCGCAUACGACCUACGGGUGAAAGCAGGGGAUCUUCGGACCUUUCGCGAUUGAAUGAGCCGAUGUCGGAUUAGCUAGUUGGCGGGGUAAAGGCCCACCAAGGCGACGAUCCGUAGCUGGUCUGAGAGGAUGAUCGGCCACACUGGAACUGAGACACGGUCCAGACUCCUACGGGAGGCAGCAGUGGGGAAUGUUGGACAAUGGGCGCAAGCCUGAUCCAGCCAUACCGCGUGGGUGAAGAAGGCCUUCGGGUUGUAAAGCCCUUUUGUUGGGAAAGAAAAGCAGCAGGUUAAUACCCCGCUGUUCUGACGGUACCCAAAGAAUAAGCACCGGCUAACUUCGUG